CAAGCAGAGGGCGCGCGGGACGGUCGCGCGAAUUAAGUUUCGCGAUUUCGCGUUCGAUUUCUCAAUUCCGACUCCGAUUUCUUCGAGGAUCUGCAUGUAUUUGAGAUCCGACGAGUGGUCGAUCUAGUGAGCCAAACACCAACGUGUUUGACUGACAAGCUUGCUUGGAGCUUACGUUUUAAAAAAAAAUGGGGACGACAGUACUGUGAGUUUUACUUUGUGGUUUUUACUUUUGAAUAUUUAUAUUUAAACUGUUUUUAAAUAACAAAUCGCAGUAGUAUAACUUAACCAUGAAAGAUCCAUUGGAACAAGCUUCCUAUUGGUUGUCAAUAGGACUGUGUGAUCACCAGUAGUGUUUUUCGAUACGAGCCUGUGUCUGACAUAGAGGUCAGUUAAUGUCAUUGGGCGUUGGAAGUGCUAGCGACCCUGACUUAACAGUCUGAGACGGCAGUAACGGUUACGGUCACAGGCAGUACUGUGAUGGCAGUUUCACGGUUACGGUCCAGACACCCGGCUUAGACGGCAGUGAUUCAGUUCACGGUCUAAGGCCUAUAUUGUGUAGGUUGAGACCCAUACAAUAGUCUGUCUUGUAGGGUUUCAUCUGGAUCGACUAAUUGGUAAUAUUUUUGAUAUGUACAAAUGUUUUACAUAUAUGCGAUUUAAAUAUUCAAUUGUAAAUAUGUGAACUCACUCAGAAAUAUUUAUAUUUCUGACCCUCCCCAAUGUUUACCUUUCAGGUAAUCAAGUACGAGGUCUGACUUCCACAAUAAUUCCGGAAGUCAAUGUCAGCCAUACCUCUAGAGCUGCAAGUAGUUGGGUACGGGAAGUCUGUCUUUCUGUUUACAGUAGUUCAAACUAUUUUGAUAAACUCUGAUUGAACUACUGUAUAUAAUAUAUGUUUGAAAAGCUGCGUGUUUUCUAAAAUGCUAUGACCAGUUGUUUGAGAGAUACACUGGUUUUAUGUAUUUAGCAUUUUAGUAUUGUAUUGGAAACAGAGCAGGUGUGUCAACUGAGAUUGAUGUUUGCGCUCUAGUUUCUUUAAAUACAAUCAGGGUCUUAAGACCCGGUUUUCAGAAAUGUGUUACGUUAAACGAGAGAAAGGUUUUAACGAUAUUUUCUGAAAACAGAUCAUAUGUGAUAUAUGAUCUUGAAUUGCGAUCGCGUUUUUAAUAAAGGUGUUAAAGUGUUUCCGCAA